CUCAGCCCUCCCAGCCCACACCACAGCAGCCAGGAGUCUUCUCACUGAUCUGCCGAGCUCAUGACUGAGAGGAAAUAUGUUUCCAGAUAAGAUGAAAAUAGAUCCUUCUCCAAAUAUGCUCAUCAUAGCUAAGAAAAAUAAAUAGAACCAAGAGGGAAAAGAGAACAGGGAGCAACCAUCAGAGGAGGCCUGGCCUGGGGAGCUGGGAGGGGUGAUCUGCCCAAGGAUCGGGGUGGAGCUUGUGCUGCAGAAUAGGCUGCCUCCUCCUUCGUGGAGUCCUGUCUAAGAUUGCAGUGGAUUUAAGGAACCUCAUCAACUGAUUGUCACUAAAGUACUACUGACUGAUAACUUGUGUCAUGUGGGAGAAGCCAGAACAUCACGGGGCCUGUCCAGGGGAGUCUGAGGCCACAGAGGAGAUGCAGUCACAGCUGGAAAUACUGCCUAAGUGUGCCUGUCUGUUCAGUGGAGGAGUUGACCAGCCUGGUCCAACAUGGCCAUGGACGAAGACCCAGGAAAGAAGAAUGGACCAGUUUCUAGAAAAGUUUCUAGAAAGACUCCAAAAGAGGUACAGACCGUAAGAGAUUGCUGGUCUCCCUCCACGGGAGCUGAGGCCACACCCUCCCAAAGCUUCUGCAGACUCUCAGCUCUCAACCCAAGUAGGUUAAAAUGCACCUACUUCCUGCAUUAUAACACUUUGGAAUCACUUUAUAUGAGUUAAGAUGUGCUACAGUUGACAGGUUGUCCUAAUAUUACAUUUUGCAGAUGUUUAAUUAAACAUGCAGGAAUUUCAAGCCUCCCGUGACUGAACUCAGCUCAGGCCUUGUUCUGUGUGAUCUCAAUCUAUUCUUCAAAAUCGUAUUAUUAUUAACCCCAUUUUACCAGGGAUAAAACAGGACGCAAGAUCUCCAACACCUAGUUGAAGGCCACACAGCCAGGGGCCUGGUGGGAUAGCACUGGCUGCUCUGCCUCUGCCCUGGUCAGCCUCUCUAGUGCCUCCCUGCCAACCCUCCAGUUCCUGGCUCUUCCCUGGGCUGCCUAGGCCAGGGGCUUGAGGCCUGUGAGGCUCAAGUCUCUCUAGGAGAGUGAAUAGUCUGACCUGAUGGACCAGAGCCGUCCUCCUGGCCCAGUUAGGAGCAUGGUGCCAGCACCCCAGCACCCCUCCCAGGGGUGAGCUGCAGGGCACAUAGUUUACCUGCCAGGAGCCCGGAGUAGGAAAGCAAACACCAUAAAUCAUCAGGAUGCCUGUGUAAAUAUUUUAUAGCUGGGACAGUAAAUAAUGCAGCUCCCUGGACACGCCCUGCCCAGUUCAUCUGUCUCACAUCCAGCACCCAGGACAGUCUGUCUGGUCCUCUCUCUUACCUUGUGUUUUUAAAACAAAUGCUGUGGCCCAGUGCUGAGCGCUUUCACACGCGCAUCUUCACUGACUAGCCUUUGCUCAGGCCUGGAACAACUUUCUCCCUCCUCCUUCAGGAGUCACCUCCUCCUGGAAGCUUUCUUUGAUUUACUGAGUGGAGUCAAGGGUUCCUCUGGCUCUCAGUCCCUAGGCUUCCCCAUCUGGGCUCUGCUCACUCUGCACGGUCAUUUCUUGGCUCCUGUUAUGAUUCCUGGUGACUAGUGUGCCCUCACUCUGACUGUCAGCUCCAAGAGAGCAAUCAUAUCCCUAGAGCUGAGGGCAGAGGUUGGUGUAUGCAGGUGCUCAACAAAUAAUGUUGAAGGAUGGAAUAAAUUACCUUGCUUAAUCC
rnacentral:lncRNA from 13 species